CCCUUAGAUGUUCUGGGCCGCACGCGCGCUACACUGACGAAUGCAACGAGCUUAUAACCUUGGCCGAAAGGUCUGGGUAAUCUCCAAAUUUCGUCGUGAUGGGGAUAGAUUAUUGCAAUUAUUAAUCUUCAACGAGGAAUGCCUAGUAAGCGCAAGUCAUCAGCUUGCGUUGAUUACGUCCCUGCCCUUUGUACACACCGCCCGUCGCACCUACCGAUUGAAUGGUCCGGUGAAAUCUCCGGACUGGCGUGAGUCGGAGCAAUCUGACAAACACCGGAAAGUUGAUUAAACCUUACCAUUUAGAGGAAGGUGAANUCGUAACA
rnacentral:rRNA from 1 species